ensembl:lncRNA
CCCCCAUUUGGAAAGUUUUCUCAGCAGAGGCCUGAGCACAUUCCUGACUUCUGGCUCAGGGAAGGACUUUCCCAACCUUCCAACAUUCCGGGCCCUCACUCACCCUGCUGACCUACCAAGAGUUCUGCUUGCUCCACCCCAAACAGCUGCAUUCCAGCUGUGGAGUUCUUAUGAAACUGCCAGGAAUCCUAGGGCUGCAAGGACUCGGUGAUACAAAUUUGGACUUCAAGGUCUGAAAGCCUGAGGCAGAAAGCUGGGCUACAGAGGGAGACCCUGUCUCAGCAAAAUGGUAGGAGUGAUCUUGCUAUAUGCUAGAGUAUGUAGGAAGCAGAAGGUUAAUUGAAAGUGAGAUGACUCCCAUGAUGCAGUUCCAUGAUGGGGUGGGGCUUUGCAGUAAUACAGCUGUUUUGGGGUCACCCACACUUAUGUAAAUAAUCUUUUACCCAUGCCCUCUAAGUAAGCCCAAUAAAUUCAUUGCUACACACACACACACACACACACACACACACACACACACACACACACACACACACCCUUAAUUUGCCAAUGGCUCUGGAUUACUCCUGGGAGGUGACAAUGGCUCUGCUAGAAGCAAAAAAGGGAGUGUCGGUCUCCUUGUAAAUUCCAUGCCCUCCUAAAAAUGGUGUCCCUGCCUGUGGAUUCAGAUGAGGAAGGGGGCCUGGGAGGCUCACCAGAGUCCUUUAAAUAUGUAGAUGUUGGCCAGACGGGGCAGAGCUGAGCAAAUGGCUUUUUAGGCAGCUGAGGCCCUCAGCUGCUGUCAGCACAACUGUCACCAAGCUCCCUUGGUUGGGGUGGCAGGGCAGGGGAGCUGGAGCCCUGAUAUUAUUAUCAUCUGGGGCUGCAGGGUGGAAGCUGGGGUUAAUGGAGUUACUGCUCUACUUGGUUUUAGAAUAGUGGCAGCGGCUGGCCUGACUCCACGCUGGCUGAUUAUUCUGAGAUUUUGAGAGCCUAUGCCCUUUCAGCAGGACUGAAGGCCCCUCAGACACAUAGCAACAAUUAAUAGCCAUGGGUACGCUUUGGAAGUCCAUCCUCAUCUACAGUUAUGCUACCCAGUAUGUGCUCCAUCUUAGGAGCUAAGCAGGGUUGGGCCUGGUCAGGACACAGGAUGAGAGACUCCAUUCUCCAAAGAGAGGAGCCUUCUGCAGUCUUCCAUCAGCUCCAGGGCCUGGAAGUAAGUAUGAGGGAGAGGAAGAAAGUAAGUAUGGAGACGAUCAGGCCAAAUAGCUAUAUAGUAAAGUGUGUCUCUUCUUAUUCCCUUCUGCUGCUGCUCCCACUUCCAAAUAUUCCCCUUUGUUCUCCUUUUGUCCCACUUACCCAUGAACUUCCUAUUCUGGUCCUUUCAGAAUACAGUCUACAGCAUUACCCAUGCAAGCUAUACUUUCCCCCAGCCCUGACAGUAUCCCUUGAGCCCUUGAGACCCUAGAAGGAAAGCACCAGGAAAUCGUAAAAUAGUCUCUCUCCAGAAAACAAUGGCUUCCGAGGUCUGUGGCAGACACACUCACAACCCCAGAAAUAGUCUCAUUGUCCUCUUGUGCAAUAUCCAGGAAUUUGGUGAAACUCAUCAUUUUUCAGGUUACCGAUAAUGCAAGUUUGGAAAGUGAAACAGGAAGAACACAGGCUGAGAAAGCUUUUAUCCAGCCACAGAGUCUCUCUCUCUCUCCAGAUGCAAGAUAGGUUUUUUUUUUUUUUUCAGCAGUUCUUUGGUGGGGUUAAAAUUAGCUGGCAGCAUUCUGGUCACAUGCAGACAACAAAACAAAAGGGAAUUGUUCCCCCAGACACUCCUAAACUAGCCCCACAGACCCUCCUAAUCCAUGGAUUUCUGGGAUCUGGCUCCCCCCUGGUAUAAGAGAGGCCACACCACAGACUGCCCUCUGGGAUUGCCCUUGCUGGAGCAGAGUAGAGCAGAGUGAGUGUUAAGGCUUUUUGGAAUCCUGAAGCUUGCCUUGCUUGGGAAGGCACUCUGGGACUCCAAAUUGGCUUUUGCAAUUCUUCUCCCAGAAGCCAGCAAAUAAGUAAACAUCACGAGGACUUAGGAAGGGCAACACUGAAGGGUGACCAUGGUACCCUUUGCCUUUUGGGACAACUGGAUGUGGCUGUCAGAAUGAGAAUGUGAAAGGAACACGCCCAAACUCUAAGUGACAAGGACUUCAGACAGGAUUCUUUAUCCCUGGGCCCUGAUGACAGGACAUGUCAGUAUCUGCUUCCAGUUUAAAACUAUCACCAGCAGCUCAGAGUUAAAAAUAUAGCAUCUGAUUCACGCAUAGUCAGGAAACAUGGCUGUGCUCAGUACAGAAACAUGUCCGUCAACCUGGGAAAGGAAUCACCGCCACGAAUAUGCUCCUAGCUUGCCAAAGCUUAGCAGCUGCAAGAGCCAAAAACCCAGCUGCCUGGACCGUCUGGGGAAAGGGGGAUUCUGAAUCACCUGACUUCUUCAGCUCCAGUGUAAUUCUAAGCCAGAACCAUCUUGAGAUGUCUCAAGGGCCAAUUUCUCCUUAAAAUUGUGUCUGAACACAAUUCUGGAUCUGCUAGUGAGGUGAAGCAGAUGGCUUUUAUUGAUUAUUUAUUUGGAAGGGGUAUUCAGGAAUUGGAAAAUUCCAUUGAGAUCAAAUACAUGGCCCUGCCAAAAACAAAAUACAAUGCCCCCCCCAAAAAAAAAAGUAAAGGCAAAGGCAAUCAUGAACAGACACCCAGAGAGCUGGGUUCAAAGGCACCACAGGUAAAUCCCAUCAAAUGAGACAGGUCUAGUCUCUUGCCUAUGUGGACUUCCAUGGUAGUCUUCCUUUGCUUGAAACCAAAAAGGUCUCUGAGUCUGAUCUCCUCUUGAAACCUCAUUAUACAGACAGACCUAAGUACAAUCCUUCCCUCAGCUAGCAUGCAAAGACCUCUUUAAUGAGCAAGCACCACGCCCCCACCCACCCAGAGGAAUAGCCUCAAGGUGUUACAAGUACAUAGAGGUCUGAAAGCUGAAACCCUGGAUAAACAGUUCACUGGAAUAUAUUUAGCAGAAAAUAUUGAAAACCACAGAGAAAAAUAUGCCCCCCCUUUCUGGGAUAUUAACGAAGGUUUAUGUCUAGGAAGCCUUCUGGAAAUAGUGAGCAAAAAAGAAAUACUGCUCACCUCUUCCACCCCAGGGUAAAUAAAUCAUGAACCCUCUUUGGUUUCCAUAGGCUUGGCUGGGGGAUUUAAUUUUUUCCCCAUUAAACAGGCCACCCGGAGAGUUGGCAUUAUAGACCUGAAAAUAUACCAGAUCUUGAACACACUGUGUUGUUUCUGUACAUUGAAUCAGGUUGUGUUUCAAAUGGCAGCUUGUGCAAGAUGGGGGGAGGGGGGACUGUGAUUAUCCGGGCUAGUGCACCCUCACACGAAGUCACCUGAAAUUGCAGCAUAAAUGACAGAUGUUUCACCUUGACUCACCCAAUGUCUUGUCUCUGACAGGAACCCGUCCUCUAUCUUUGUUGCCCAAGCUGAUGUCAUGUUCUAAGGGGCUGGAUUUGCUAAGCUGCAGCAAAAUGCCUUCCUGCAGAAGGACCCAGACUGCCUGCAGUGUGGGGCGGGGACCUGAGAAACAAGGCAAGGACAGGCAACUACUCUCCCUAAGAUGGAGGCUGCAUGAUGUAAGUGGCUGGCUAAAAUAUCUGGCAUGCUUGCAGUUUUAAG